CAGGGAUUCUCCAGCGUACCCAACAAGCUGUUCUCAUUUUAACACUUCAAGAAUUACCAAUGAGAUUGUACUUUUUAAAAAGUGCCACUAACAUGCCAGUUGUGACAAGAACUAUCUCCAAAGGCUCUUAGCUUUCUCUCAGGGAGCUAAACUACCCCAUCAGAAGCCACUGUUCUGUGAAUGUAACCAUGACAACAUACUAAGGCAGGGAACAAGAAAGAAUAACCUAUUUCAAUUUGUUUAGGACCUGCUGGCAGGAUCCUGACGUCGUGGCUCGCGACAAGUGGCACCCGAAAAGGGACCUGAAAGCAGAUGAGGAUGUGUAAUCCCGGACCCAGGUCGAAGGCAGCGACGGUGCUCCGGAGGACUGACCGCUGCGCCUGAUCCUCGCAGUAAAUCUACCGUUCACUUCAUGAA